GAUGGUUUGUUAGAGGCAGUUUCUUCUCCCCCCCCCCCAGCCCCCCCGCCCUGCCAGGAAGCCCAGAGCGCAGAGAUAUUUCUUCAUUUCUCCUUCCACCUGCCGUUGGCUGCCCGAACGCAACUGCUCCAAGUCGGCAGCGCGCAGCCCCCCGCACGCUCACGGCUCCCUUCCAGCGGCCGGGGGCUGCCGCCAGUGGAUUUGGGGUUUUCCCCCUCUCCUGAUAGAUACUUGUGCAAAUGCUUAAACACUGCUAAUUGCCGAAGCAUAUUAUCCUACAACCCUCGCUGAGGAGGUAGGACCGCAGAGGGUCGUGCCCGACGCCCAUGUGCAAGUGCAGUGAUGAAUCUCUUGUGUAGCUGAAGUGCAGACCAGUUGGAAUAUGCUGCAGACAAUUUACGAGAGUGAAUCGUGUUUUUCCUCAGAUGGAGUUUCUGGACGCGAACAGCUCUUGGCUCAGCAAAGAAUGCACAGUAUGAUCAGCUCAGUGGAUGUAAAGUCAGAGGUUCCCGUGGGGUUAGAGCCUAUCUCACCAUUAGACUUGCGAACUGAUCUCAGGAUGAUGGUUCCCAUGGUGGACCCAAUUAUGCGUGAAAAGCAGCUACAGCAGGAACUACUCCUGAUCCAGCAGCAGCAGCAAAUUCAGAAACAACUGCUGAUUGCAGAGUUUCAGAAGCAGCAUGAAAACCUGACCCGCCAGCAUCAGGCCCAGCUCCAGGAGCACAUAAAGUUACAACAGGAACUCCUAGCCAUUAAACAACAGCAAGAACUCCUUGAAAAAGAGCAGAAACUGGAGCAGCAAAGACAAGAGCAGGAACUGGAGAGGCAUCGCAGGGAGCAACAGCUUCCUCCCCUCCGAGGCAAAGAAAGAGGACGAGAAAGGGCAGUGGCCAGUACAGAAGUGAAGCAGAAACUUCAGGAGUUCCUGUUGAGUAAAUCGGCAACAAAAGACUCUCCGGCAAAUGGGAAGAAUCAUUCCAUGAACCGCCACCCCAAGCUCUGGUACACGGCUGCCCACCAUACCUCACUGGAUCAAAGCUCUCCACCCCUGAGCGGGGCCUCACCACCAUACAAAUACACUUUACCAGGAGCACAGGAUGCCAAGGAUGAUUUUCCACUUCGUAAAACGGCCUCAGAGCCCAAUUUGAAGGUACGUUCGAGGUUAAAACAGAAAGUGACAGAAAGGAGAAGCAGUCCUUUACUCAGGAGGAAGGAUGGAAAUGUCAGUUCAUUCAAGAAGCGUCUUUUCGAGGUGACAGAAUCCUCAGUCAGUAGCAGCUCCCCUGGAUCAGGUCCCGGUUCCCCAAGCAAUGGUCCAACCAGCAGUACAACAGAAAGUGAAACCUCAGUUUUGCCAUCUAACAUUCAAGCUGAGCAUCUAGUUUCCCAGCAACGCCUUUUGAUACAGGAUGAAUCAGUGAAUUUGUUGAGUCUGUACACAUCCCCUUCUUUGCCCAACAUUACCUUGGGACUUCCAGCAAUACAACCCCAAAUCAGUGGAGUCAGGGAGUGCUCCAGGAAAAGUAAUAGCUUCCCACUACUACAGGCUUCAUCGUCAUUCAAAGAAAAGCAGAAGGGGGAGACCCCAUCACUCAGACAAGGAGUGGCCUUGGCUGGACAGUAUGGAGGAAACAUUCCUCCAUCAUCAACUCAUCCUCACAUUGCUUUGGAGGGAAAGCCAAAUAGCAGCCACCAAGCUCUCUUGCAGCAUCUGUUACUGAAAGAACAAAUGAGACAGCAAAAACUUCUUGUGACUGGAGCGGUUCCUCUUCAUCCGCAGUCUCCUUUAGCAGCAAAGGAGAGAGUCUCACCUGGCAUAAGAGCUGCCCACAAACUGCCUCGUCACAGGCCACUGAAUCGAACCCAGUCAGCUCCUCUUCCUCAGAGUACUUUGGCCCAGCUGGUCAUCCAGCAGCAACAUCAGCAGUUUUUGGAGAAGCAGAAACAAUACCAGCAGCAGGUCCACAUGAAUAAGAUGCUCUCUAAGUCCAUUGAGCAGCUCAAGCAGCCUGGCAGUCACCUGGAGGAAGCUGAAGAAGAGCUUCACGGUGAUCACUCCAUGCAGGAAGAGCGAGCUCCCGCCAGCGGUGCCAGCAGUGCCAGCGUUAGGGCUGAGAGCAGCAGUGCUGGUGUGGAUGACAGAAUAGGACAGCAGGUGGGGGCUGUGAAAGUCAAAGAGGAGCCACUGGACAGUGAUGAGGAUGUUCAAACCCAGCAAAUGGAAUCUGGGGAGCAAGCUGCUUUUAUGCAACAGGAGUUCCUGGCACAUCGGCAUGUCCACCAGUUGCAAAUCUACCAGGCUCAGAUGGCUACAGUUGGCAUGGCAGGAUUAGAUAAACAUCAACCUGUGUCCGGGACCCCAUCUUCCCCCACUGAUUCCACAUUACCUCACCCAGACACGGACCAGCCCAGCCAGCAUGUCUACACGACUGGUGUUGUGUAUGACAGUCUGAUGCUGAAGCACCAGUGUAUGUGUGGGAACUAUGCUAAUCACCCUGAACAUGCUGGAAGAAUCCAAAGCAUCUGGUCAAGGCUGCAAGAAACUGGGUUGCUAAACAAGUGCGAGCGAAUUCGAGGUCGAAAAGCCAGUCUGGAAGAAAUACAGCUGGUUCACUCUGAACAUCAUUCACUGCUGUAUGGCACCAGUCCCCUGAACAGACAGAAGCUGGACCCCAGGAAACUCCUAGGAAACGUGUCUCAAAAACUAUUUUCCUUGUUGCCUUGUGGGGGACUUGGGGUGGACAGUGACACCGUUUGGAACGAGCUGCACUCGGCCGGGGCGGCACGCAUGGCGGUGGGCUGUGUCAUCGAGCUGGCGGCCCGCGUGGCCUCCCGGGAGCUGAAGAAUGGCUUUGCUGUUGUAAGGCCCCCAGGCCAUCAUGCUGAAGAAUCAACAGCCAUGGGGUUCUGCUUUUUUAAUUCAAUUGCAAUUACUGCCAAAUACUUGAGAGACAAGCUAAAUAUAGGCAAGAUAUUGAUUGUAGAUCUGGAUGUUCACCAUGGCAACGGUACACAGCAGGCUUUUUAUGCUGACCCCAGCAUCCUGUAUGUUUCCCUCCAUCGCUAUGAUGAAGGCAACUUCUUCCCUGGCAGUGGAGCCCCAAAUGAGGUUGGAAGUGGCCCUGGUGAAGGGUAUAACAUAAAUAUCGCUUGGACAGGUGGCUUGGACCCCCCUAUGGGUGAUGUUGAGUAUCUCACAGCAUUCAGGACUGUGAUUAUGCCAGCUGCCAACGAGUUUGAUCCAGAGAUUGUCCUGGUGUCAGCAGGAUUCGAUGCUGUAGAAGGCCACGACCCUCCUCUGGGCGGGUACAAAGUCACGGCUAAAUGUUUUGGUCACCUAACCAAGCAAUUGCUGAAGUUAGCGGAUGGCCGUGUUGUGCUGGCACUGGAGGGAGGACAUGACCUUACUGCCAUCUGUGAUGCAUCUGAAGCCUGUAUAAACGCCCUUUUAGGAAAUGAGCUGGAGCCUCUCCCGGAAGAUGUUGUUCACCAAAUCCCCAAUAUGAAUGCAAUAGCUUCUUUAAAAAAGACCACUGAAAUUCAAAGCAAGUACUGGAAGUCAGUGGAGCCAUACUCUGUGCCAGUGGACUGUGCUCUGGCUGAGUCUCAGCAACAAGAGAGGGAGGAGACAGAAACGGUGUCUGCUAUGGCCUCUCUUUCAGUGGAUGUUGAGCAGUGUAUCCCUCAGGAAGGCAGCAGAGCUGCUGGUGAGCCCAUGGAAGAAGAGCCAGCCUUGUGAAGUGCCAAGUCCUCCCUGAUAUUUCCUGUGGGUGACAUCAUUGUGUAUCCCCCAAAGCACCCUCAGACAUGUCUUGUCUGCUUCUUGGGUGGCACAGAUCAGAUGGAACAUAAACACUGGGCACAACACUCUGAAUAGCAGCUUCACUUGUUCUUUGGAUGGACUUGAAAGAGCCCAAAAGAUUCCUUAAAUGUAACUGCUACAAUUCUAGAGUUACAGAAAAAUGGGCUUGAGAGAAAGAGCCUAGAGCAUGCUUUUUAUAUGCUGUUUGACCCACUCACCAACAGAAAUUGUGAAAUAGAGUAUUGCAAAAUUCUACAUGAUAGAUCAUAGAUAUGAGAAUUGCAACAGCCAGCAACAUACUCUGUGAACUCCAUGAAUCACUUUCUGACACUUUUUACUGGACUCCGUAUGGAAGUAAAACAGAAUAUGUACCUGGGGAGGGGGGAUGUAGUGUGUGGAACCUGCCAGGAAAGAAUUUCUCUUAAAUCAAGCUUCUGCUACCUGCUUUUCAUCCUGGAUUUGAAGGAGUUUGUGUUCUAAAUUGUCAUUCAAGAUUUUUCUUUGUCAUGUCACUUGCUUCGUUUUUGUACCUAUAAUUGAAUCCCCUUUUGUAGCACACAGAAAACCACACAAAAAAAGUCUGUCUUUUGUGACAGAUGCCCCUGCCCUUGGUGUGGGAAUGAGAGUAGCUUAUCUUUGUCACUUCUAGCAGCAAUUAAAUGCUUUUGUGACAGAUCCAAACUGGAGUAGUAUUUUAAAAGUACAAUUUAGCUAGCUGUCUGCUGACUGUUAAAAAAAAAAGAAAUUGUGAAACUUACAUUCCUCUCAAGCCUCAAAAGGGACCCAUUUUGAUUUUAACAAUGUAAUAUUUUCACUUGAUCCAAAAGAGUUUUGUCCCAUGACAUCUUGUUGCUAGCUCAGUUUUAAUCCCUAGUAAGUAACACCAGAGAGGGUGAAGACCAAAAAGGAUGUUCCAGCAACAAUCAAUUAUAUGUCUUCUGCACAAUCCUUCAUCCUGCUCUGUGAUUCAGCAUAUUAAAAUAGAUUAUAGCAAAAUAUAAAUUCUUCUGCACCAUCGAAGAUACUGCUGUUGGGAUGUCAAUUAGCACACUGUGAGUUGGGCUGUGAUUUAUAAGGGCCGUAAUUUAUAUGGAAGCCAUGCUUCUGUGUGGAUGCGUGAAACCAGUGGCACUGGUGCUCUGCAGUGAGAGUGAUUCUGUGCUGAGAUCCCCACAUAUUACCCCCUUCCGAUGGUAUGCCUGCAUGGCCAGAGGCACAUUGGCAGUAACAGAGCCAUAGGAUGUCCUGGUUCAAAGAGCACUGAAAUCCCUCCUCUAACAGGCUUUGGGUUAUGUCUGGGAGGCAGCUAAAGAAGAAACCUGAACUUUGCAGUCAGCCACACGAAACUGUAAACAAAGCCCAAGUAACAGAUCUAAGCUUGGCCACACGUACCUGUUUCUGAUACGAAGUGCCAGUUCUGCUUCUAGAAAAGUCUGUCUGAAAGAACACUGACAGUAGUGGAUCUAUUCUAUUGGCUUCACAAGAGUGUAGACGACAUGUCUUAUGGGAACAGUUCACAUGUCUCUUGCUGCAUAGUUUACUGCUAUUUAAAAUUUAAUGAUUGGCUUAAUAUUCUAAUUUAGAAUGCAGUAGGAAAGCAUAAAGCAAUACCUGGUGAACUCAUAACUAAAGCUUUCAAAGCAAACUUACUGCCGUUGGUUUUUACAACACUGACUUUUUGGUCUAGGGAUGCACAGCUGAAGUGUCUAUUUUUUUCCUUGGGAAAUUGAUGUUGCUAUCUGUUUCUACAAUAAAAAACAGUCCUUUUGCUCAGAUCUCUAAAAGUUUAUCUGUAAUUUGUCUUUCCAGGCAGAGCAGAUUCUAAGGAUAAAGUAUCAGUGGGACUGACCCAAAGGACAGCAUUUUCAAAGGUCAAUAGUAAUAUUUCCAUAAGAGUAAAAGGAACCAUUGUUAUUAUUCCUGAUACGUUUUUGUAUCUGAAAGCAUCCAAUGAGUAAUGUUAAGUAAUAUUGUGCUCCAAAACUUUGUUGUUUAUAGAUAUAUGAGCUCUGGAUUGGCGUGAAAUAGUCUUCAACCAAGUUGUUAAAAUCCUUUUUGUUUUGUGUUUUGUAUAAUUCUUUGGCUAUAGUCUUGUCCUAGUGUUAAUAAAAGCUAUUUGAAGUAAGCUCUGUCAAUA